GCCAGACUCUGAUCUGGACCUCAGCGUCCUUGCUCAUCAGACCCCAAGUCCUCGGAGAACAACAGCACCUAAGGAGGGUGCCUGACUUUGAAGACUGGGAGGAGAACUGGGCCAUUCUUCCUUCAGGGACAACCUCCACACUGCUAUUCUCAACAGUUCCUUCACCAGGCCUGGCCGCCCCCUUGUUUCCUUCCUGACUUCCUCUCUGCAUACUGUGGACCUUAUAGGAAAGGGGCCCUGGUCAGCUGGCUAGGAGGCAGGGAGGAGCUGAGCAGAAGGCCCCGACAGCUGCGGCCUGGCGUGGUGGUCACACCUGUAAUCCCAGCACUUUGCAAGGCCGAGGCGGGUGGAUCACCUGAGAUCGGGAGUUCAAGACCAGCCUGACCAACAUGGUGAAAUCCCAUCUCUACUAAAAAUACUCAGGAAGUUGCUUCCUCUGCUAAGCAUAGAGGACCAAGGGGAAGGGAGCUGGGGUUGAAUGUGAGCCUGCCUGGACAGUGUUCUAACCAAGGAACCCAGCGGGAACAGAUGUGUCUUACUGCCAUGUUGCCUUCGUGUCAUGUGAAAUAAAUGAACAAAUA
rnacentral:lncRNA from 10 species